AUUUGAAUAGCUUAUGUAUAGGGCGUAGUAUUGAAGAUACUGAGGAAAUAGAUUUAUUUUCAAAUA
rnacentral:tRNA from 1 species